rnacentral:piRNA from 1 species
UGAGUUCUACAUAUUUGUUAUUCCCUUUGAG